rnacentral:rRNA from 1 species
UGGGGAAUAUUGGACAAUGGGCGCAAGCCUGAUCCAGCCAUGCCGCGUGGAUGAUGAAGGCCCUAGGGUUGUAAAGUCCUUUCGGCGGGGAAGAUAAUGACGGUACCCGCAGAAGAAGCCCCGGCUAACUUCGUGCCAGCAGCCGCGGUAAUACGAAGGGGGCUAGCGUUGCUCGGAAUCACUGGGCGUAAAGCGCACGUAGGCGGACUCUUAAGUCGGUGGUGAAAUCCUGGAGCUCAACUCCAGAACUGCCUUCGAUACUGAGAGUCUCGAGUCCGGGAGAGGUGAGUGGAACUGCGAGUGUAGAGGUGAAAUUCGUAGAUAUUCGCAAGAACACCAGUGGCGAAGGCGGCUCACUGGCCCGGUACUGACGCUGAGGUGCGAAAGCGUGGGGAGCGAACAGGAUUAGAUACCCCCGUAGUCC